AGGGUGUAAACGCUGCAGACUUGGUGUUGGAGGCCCUUUGGGGGCAUUCAGUGCCGGAGAGAAGUUGUUAAGUCUGCUACUUGGGGAGUACGUCCGCAAGGAUGAAACUUAAAGGAAUUGGCGGGGGAGCACCGCAACGGGAGGAGCGUGCGGUUUAAUUGGAUUCAACACCGUAAACUCACCAGGGAAGACUGUUACAUGAAGGCCGAGAUGAAGACUCUGCUAGAUUUUUCAGAGAGGUGGUGCAUGGCGUCAGUGACU
rnacentral:rRNA from 1 species